CGGCAAGGUGGCAGGAAGGAGUCCACACUGUUAUCUUAUGGUGAAGCAGUAUGACAAGCAGCGUGAUGUUGGUGUUGUAUGAUCACUCUCUCUGAACGUCAGGAGGAAUUCCAGCACCUUAUCGAUCCUGACUCCACAGCUCACUCAGGGGAGAGUCUGUUUUCUUAACCCACUGUACAGUAUGCCACGUUUAUCAAUAGCAAUUCUCGCCAGG